GUCACUUUGCCGGAGUGGUUAACGGGAUCGCCUGCUAUUUCUCGCCCAGAGAACGCUAAGCGGUUGGGCUUUGCCCGCGAGUGUUCGAAUCGCUCAGGUGACG